rnacentral:rRNA from 1 species
CCGGGAAUAUUGCGCAAUGGACGAAAGUCUGACGCAGCGACGCCGCGUGAAGGAAGAAGGCCUAUGGGUCGUAAACUUCUUUUGCUAAGCCGUUCACAGCUUAGAGAAUAAGCCUCUACUAACUACGUGCCAGAAGUCUCGGUAAUACGUAGGAGGCAAGCAUUAUCCGGAUUCAUUGGGCGUAAAGUGUGCGUAGGCGGUACAGUGUGUCGUAUCUUAAAGACCAAGGCUUAACCUCGGAUCUGGAUACGAAACUACUAUACUUGAGGAUUGACAGGGAUGCUAGAACAGUUAGUGUAGCAGUGAAAUGCGUUGAUAUUAACUGGAAUACCAAAGGCGAAGGCAGGCAUCUGGGUUUUUCCUGACGCUGAGGCACGAAAGCCAGGGGAGCGAAACAGAU